rnacentral:rRNA from 1 species
AGUCGCACGAGAAAGGGAGCAAUCCUAAGUAAAGUGGCGCACGGGUGAGUAACACGUGGAUCAUCUACCUUUUAGUGGGGAAUACCUCUGGGAAACCGGAGACAAUACCGCAUAAGCCUGUAAAGGGAAAGCAGCAAUGCGCUGAAAGAGGAGUCCGCGGCCGAUUAGCUAGUUGGCGGGGUAACGGCCCACCAAGGCGAAGAUCGGUAGCCGGCCUGAGAGGGCACACGGCCACACUGGCACUGAAACACGGGCCAGACUCCUACGGGAGGCAGCAGUGGGGAAUCUUGCACAAUGGGCGAAAGCCUGAUGCAGCGACGCCGCGUGAGCGAUGAAGCCCUUCGGGGUGUAAAGCUCUUUCGACGGGAACGAUAAUGACGGUACCCGGAGAAGAAGCUGCGGCUAACUACGUGCCAGCAGCCGCGGUAAUACGUAGGCAGCGAGCGUUGUUCGGAAUUACUGGGCGUAAAGAGUGUGUAGGCGGUGUCCCCAGUCUGUUGUGAAAUCUCCCGGCUUAACUGGGAGGGUGCAGCGGAAACUAGAAUGCUAGAGGGUGGGAGAGGUAAGCGGAAUUCCUGGUGUAGCGGUGAAAUGCGUAGAUAUCAGGAGGAACACCUGUGGUGUAGACAGCUUACUGGACCACUUCUGA